GACGAACGCUGGCGGCGUGCUUAACACAUGCAAGUCGAACGGAGAUUCAGCAAUGGAUCUUAGUGGCGAACGGGUGAGUAACGCGUAGGCAAUCUGCCUUCUAGAUGGGGACAACAUCCCGAAAGGGGUGCUAAUACCGAAUGUUGUAGUUGGUUCGCAUGGACUAGCUACUAAAGGUGGCCUCUGAAUAUGCUACCGCUAGAAGAUGAGCCUGCGUCUGAUUAGCUAGUUGGAGGGGUAACGGCCCACCAAGGCUUCGAUCAGUAGCCGGUCUGAGAGGAUGAACGGCCACACUGGGGCUGAGACACGGCCCAGACUCCUACGGGAGGCAGCAGUGGGGAAUCUUCCGCAAUGGACGAAAGUCUGACGGAGCAACGCCGCGUGAGUGAAGAAGGUUUUCGGAUCGUAAAGCUCUUUCGUUAGGGACGAACGUGCUCUUUGUGAAUAAUGAGGAGUAAUGACGGUACCUAAAUAAGAAGCCACGGCUAACUACGUGCCAGCAGCCGCAGUAA
rnacentral:rRNA from 1 species